GGCAGAUUGCCCGAGCGGCCAAUGGGAGCGGACUGUAAAUCCGUCGCGAAAGCUUCCCAGGUUCGAAUCCUGGAUCUGCCACCA
rnacentral:tRNA from 2 species